rnacentral:rRNA from 1 species
UACGUAGGGUCCGAGCGUUGUCCGGAAUUAUUGGGCGUAAAGGGCUCGUAGGCGGUCUGUUGCGUCGGGAGUGAAAACUUACAGCUUAACUGUGAGCGUGCUUCCGAUACGGGCAGACUUGAGGUAUUCAGGGGAGAACGGAAUUCCCGGUGUAGUGGUGGAAUGCGUAGAUAUCGGGAGGAACACCAGUGGCGAAGGCGGUUGCCUGGGGCUUUGCUGACGCUGAUGCGCGAAAGCGUGGGGAGCGAUCCGG